CCGCUGGUGAGGCAAUUGGCAGACCUUCCGGAUUUAAAACCCGGAGUUUUGGCGGUUCGAAGCCGCCCCGGCGGACCA
rnacentral:tRNA from 1 species